ACCUGACUGCUAUCGGAUUGAUACUAAGCCAUGCGAGUCGUUGUAGCAAUACAAGGCAUACGGCUCAGUAACGCGUAGUCAACCUAACCUAUGGACGGGAAUAACCUCGGGAAACUGAGAAUAAUGCCCGAUAGAACAUUAUGCCUGGAAUGGUUUAUGUUCCAAAUGAUUUAUCGCCAUAGGAUGGGACUGCGGCCUAUCAGUUUGUUGGUGAGGUAAUGGCCCACCAAGACUAUUACAGGUACGGGCUCUGAGAGGAGUAGCCCGGAGAUGGGUACUGAGACACGGACCCAGGCCCUAUGGGGCGCAGCAGGCGAGAAAACUUUGCAAUGUGCGAAAGCACGACAAGGUUAAUCCGAGUGAUUUCUGCUAAAGAGAUCUUUUGUUAGUCCUAGAAACACUAACGAAUAAGGGGUGGGCAAGUUCUGGUGUCAGCCGCCGCGGUAAAACCAGCACCUCAAGUGGUCAGGAUGAUUAUUGGGCCUAAAGCAUCCGUAGCCGGCUCUGUAAGUUUUCGGUUAAAUCUGUACGCUCAACGUACAGGCUGCCGGGAAUACUGCAGAACUAGGGAGUGGGAGAGGUAGACGGUACUCGGUAGGAAGUGGUAAAAUGCUUUGAUCUAUCGAUGACCACCUGUGGCGAAGGCGGUCUACCAGAACACGUCCGACGGUGAGGGAUGAAAGCUGGGGGAGCAAACCGGAUUAGAUACCCGGGUAGUCCCAGCUGUAAACUAUGCAAACUCAGUGAUGCAUUGGCUUGUGGCCAAUGCAGUGCUGCAGGGAAGCCGUUAAGUUUGCCGCCUGGGAAGUACGUACGCAAGUAUGAAACUUAAAGGAAUUGGCGG
rnacentral:rRNA from 1 species